rnacentral:misc_RNA from 1 species
UGUGGGAGCGAGCCUGCUCGCGAUAGCGGUAUGUCAGUCACAUUGAUGCUGACUGAUCCAACGCCAUCGCGAGCAGGCUCGCUCCCACA